CGGGGACCAUGGCGUGGGGAGCGCGCGUGGCGGGGCGCGCCCUCGGUCCCUUCCCGGGAGGUGGGUGGUUGACGGGCCCGCCGGGGAGCCAGGGAGCGCCGGGAAGCGCCGGGAAGCCAAGCUGCAGUGUUCCUCAGCAACAAGUCUCGCUGAGAUCCGACCCAGAGUUCGGCCUCUGACUAGACGCCUGGGAAUCCGUGAGCUUAAUCCCCGCUUAAAUCCCAAACGGAAAAUCAUAGCGCUUUCUUGUCGGUUAAGGGUGUCAUUCCCAUAAGAAGCUGGACCUGGGGACCGCCAGGGAAAGCCUGAGCGUGGCAGCAAAUGGGGAGGCCUGGAGGGAUCGCAGCAGUCUUGGACUCGGGAUCUGAAAUUCUCUCCCUAGGAUUUGUAAACAGUGCCAGUUCCUAAGCUAUUUGUUGUCCUAUGGUCUGUCCAUCUUUAAAUCCCACCAGUAACAAUCCAAUCUCCAGGCUGACCCUCUAAACCUGCUUUAGCUGGGCGUUGAUCCGCAGCACCACCAGAAGGCAGUGACGAAGAGGGAAAAAUAAAGUGAACUAGGACCUCCUGUAGAAUAACUCCUCCUGUGGAAUAACUCCUCCUGUGGAAUAAGACUCCAGGUUCUUCGGGGACUCUUGGACUUACACCAGCGUUUUGCCGGGGGCUCUGUCGGCUGCACUGUCAGUUUCCCUACUUUUGAGACUUUUGGACUCGGACUGAGCCACUACUGGCUUCCUUCUUUCUCAGCUUGGAGACAGCCUAUCAUGGACUUCGCAUUGUGAUCGUAUGGUGCUGUAAUGGAAAUCCUUUAUUUGUGACUCUUGUGGCCUUGUGUGAGAGUUUUUUCCUAAGCAUGUAAAAAAAUGAUGGUACUUGACAGUCCAGCUGCCACAAUGCUUUCAAAAAACUGGAUUUCUACUGGAUUCUUCAAGAUUACAAAGUUACAGCCUUAACAAACAGUUUGCUGAUAGGCUGUGGGGAGAGUGGAGAAAGAUGAGGUUGGACAAAAAAG
rnacentral:lncRNA from 10 species